rnacentral:rRNA from 1 species
GACGAACGCUGGCGGCGUGCCUAAUACAUGCAAGUAGAACGCUGAAGGAGGAGCUUGCUUCUCUGGAUGAGUUGCGAACGGUUGAGUAACGCGUAGUUAACCUGCCUGGUAGCGGGGGAUAACUAUUGGAAACGAUAGCUAAUACCGCAUAAUAGUAGAUGUUGCAUGACAUUUGCUUAAAAGUUGCAAUUGCAUCACUACCAGAUGGACCUGCGUUGUAUUAGCUAGUUGGUGGGGUAACGGCUCACCAAGGCGACGAUACAUAGCCGACCUGAGAGGGUGAUCGGCCACACUGGGACUGAGACACGGCCCAGACUCCUACGGGAGGGAGCAGUAGGGACUAUUCGGCAAUGGACGGAAGUCUGAACGAGCAACGCCGCGUGAGUGAAGAAGGUUUUCGGAUCGUAAAGCUCUGUUGUAAGAGAAGAACGAGUGUGAGAGUGGAAAGUUCACACUGUGACGGUAUCUUACCAGAAAGGGACGGCUAACUACGUG